UACAGAGGUGCCAAGCGUUAGGCGGAAUCACUGGGCUUAAAGCGUGUGUAGGCGGAUGCCUAAGUACCUUGUGAAAUCCCACGGCUCAACCGUGGAACGGCUGGGUAUACUGGGCGUCUUGAGCCAGCUAGGGGCGACCGGAACAAACGGUGGAGCGGUGAAAUGCGUAGAUAUCGUUUGGAACGCCUGUGGUGAAAACGGGUCGCUGGGGCUGUGCUGACGCUGAGACACGAAAGCCAGGGGAGCAAACGGG
rnacentral:rRNA from 1 species